GUGUGUGCAAAUGUGUGGCUUUUUGUGGGCGGAAUGCAUUCAAAUGAUACCGUCGAACCAUCACCAGGACCGGGAUAGAAUUGUCCGGAACCAAUACUGCUGCUGGUGCGUUAUCGGUGUGCAAAGUAGUGCCAAGUAGUGUCCAAGCGAUGAAACACGACGAACACAUCGCCGGUCGCCAUCGUCCUUGCUCGCCACAGGGUUCGCUACGAUGCUGCUGGCUACUGAAAAGAUUCCAACACCACCAGAACCACCCACCGAGCCCACCUGUGAGCGUAAGGUGAAGUGUUCUUAGAAUUUAUGACGCCAUCGUCG